AUUAUGGAUUGAUUCAAAGCUUGUUUGAAUUAAAAAUCUUAAUUUUAUAGGUCAUGAAGAAUCAUCUAUAAAUAGAGAGGGUCUCUACCUAUGAAAUAGAGCAAUCAGAUUGUGUGAAAGAGAGAAAGUGAGAAAGAGGCGUGAGGCAUGAAAUCCAAGUGGGCGUCCCCUUGUUGCCGCCCCUCUUCCUCCUUGCCGUG
rnacentral:lncRNA from 1 species